rnacentral:rRNA from 1 species
GAUGAACGCUGGCGGCGUGCUUAACACAUGCAAGUCGAACGAAGCACUCUAUUUGAUUUCUUCGGAAUGAUUAUUUUGUGACUGAGUGGCGGACGGGUGAGUAACGCGUGGGUAACCUGCCUCACACUGGGGGAUAACAGUUAGAAAUAGCUGCUAAUACCGCAUAAGCGCACGGGAUCGCAUGAUCUUGUGUGAAAAACUCCGGUGGUGUGAGAUGGACCCGCGUCUGAUUAGCUAGUUGGUGGGGUAACGGCCCACCAAGGCGACGAUCAGUAGCCGACCUGAGAGGGUGACCGGCCACAUUGGGACUGAGACACGGCCCAAAACUCCUACGGGAGCAGCAGUGGGGAAUAUUGGGGCAAUGGGGGAAACCCUGACCCAGCAACGCCGCGUGAAGGAAGAAGGCUUUCGGGUUGUAAACUUCUUUUACCAGGACGAAGAAAGUGACGGUACCUGGAGAAAAAGCCACGGCUAACUACGUG